GCCAGCGUGGUGUAGUGGUUUGAGUGCUGGACUAUGACUCUGGAGAUCAGGGUUUGAUUCCCUGCUGGGCC
rnacentral:tRNA from 1 species